GGGAAAAAUAGUCGAAAUCUAUUUAGAAUUAGAAUGUAUAUUCAUAUUUAGAUUUAAAUGAAACUAUCUCUCUUCUAACGAAUCUGACGUUCGAUUUAUGAUUUUAGGAUUUCAAAAAUUCACAACUAAUUCAAAACAAACAUGACUCUCAAAGUGUCUAAGUAAAUAAAUAAUAUCGCAUUUCUGUAUCGCAGGAGAUCUAUUAUUAACUCCUACAAUCGAGAUUUAUUAUGCGAUCAAUGACAUGAAAUGAGUGCAAGAGGAACUGAAUGCACAUGACUUACAUAAGACUCUGAUAAGAGACAAUCUAUACCUCCACCCUCGUCGCCCAUCAUGUGUCCCCAUCCACCGCAACCAUAAGUCUUCUUAUCGGGAUUGAUCAGCAGAGCGUUGCUGCCAGUUCCGGCGAUCAAUACGAUUCCGCCGGACUCCAAGCCGGUCCUGAGGCUACCAAGAGUAUCCGAGUCGACUAUGUAAUCCCUGGCAGAGUGUGGAUACGAUUCCAGUAAAGUCUGUACGAGCUGACGGUUCGUGAUUUCCUCUUCGCAGCCGCUCAAACAGAGUCCCUGUCGACGAGAGAAUCAUGUAUCUCUGCGGAGGACCUCAGAAGCGGCACGGAUCAUUGGAAAGGCAACUCACCCUUCUAUGCCGCCGAUCUUGAUGUCCUCGGCGGAUUUCGGCUCGCCCGGCGCGGUUACCAGGAUUUCGUCCUGCGCUGCUUUCGUGGUGUCGGUCAUCCUCGUCUGUUCUCUCAGAUCCCUGCGGAGUUGAAACUCAUCCACCACCUUCUCGGCCUUCUUCGCACCCUUCGCCUUCUUGCCCUUCUUUUUGCCUGCCAUUUUGAUAAGAUCGUCUCGUCAGAUUCUCGGAGACGGUCAAUCAUCCGUGUUCACGCUGACGCUGACAUUUCACGAGGAUUCGACGGGAUCUGGAGGGGGGAUGCGACAAUACAGGAUAAUGCAGGAUGUUUCAGACCUGCUUCGUACCUGACGUGUCUUCGUGAAACAAUUUAUAUCGAAGAUGGAUUUAUGAUCUAGUAAGACUGUAAAUGUCGCUUAUAGUCUCCGAUAAACGACCUCGUCCGACGACUAUAUUAAGCGUCCGAAAGAAAGCUUAUCUCAACGAAACAUGGAUCGUAUCGGCAGAUGUGGAAAUAUACACAGCGGAUCAUCGGCAGAGCUAUCGGGAACGAUAGUGAAAUCGAGACGAAAUAGUGAAAGCGAGUAUUUUACGAGAGUAAUAUAAUAACACAGAAAGCUCGCAUGAUUUUCACCAUUCGGAGAUUGUAUGUACUUAGCUCCCUUACAACUUU